AGCGAACGCUGGCGGCAGGCUUAACACAUGCAAGUCGAACGGGCAUCUUCGGAUGCCAGUGGCAGACGGGUGAGUAACACGUGGGAACGUGCCCUUCGGUUCGGAAUAACUCAGGGAAACUUGAGCUAAUACCGGAUACGCCCUUUUGGGGAAAGGUUUACUGCCGAAGGAUCGGCCCGCGUCUGAUUAGCUAGUUGGUGGGGUAAUGGCCCACCAAGGCGACGAUCAGUAGCUGGUCUGAGAGGAUGAUCAGCCACACUGGGACUGAGACACGGCCCAGACUCCUACGGGAGGCAGCAGUGGGGAAUAUUGGACAAUGGGCGAAAGCCUGAUCCAGCCAUGCCGCGUGAGUGAUGAAGGCCUUAGGGUUGUAAAGCUCUUUCGACGGGGACGAUAAUGACGGUACCCGUAGAAGAAGCCCCGGCUAACUUCGUGCCAGCAGCCGCGGUAAUACGAAGGGGGCUAGCGUUGCUCGGAAUCACUGGGCGUAAAGGGCGCGUAGGCGGCCGAUCAAGUCAGAGGUGAAAGCCCAAGGCUCAACCUUGGAAUUGCCUUUGAUACUGUUUGGCUCGAGACCGGAAGAGGUAAGUGGAACUGCGAGUGUAGAGGUGAAAUUCGUAGAUAUUCGCAAGAACACCAGUGGCGAAGGCGGCU
rnacentral:rRNA from 1 species